GGCGCAAAUUUGGCGCAAAUCCACCGCAACAGACUGAAAAUCAGGACUUGGCAAAAUCCUUUUAAUCAGUAGGUCCAGGGUUCGAAUCCCUGCGCGCUCACCA
rnacentral:tRNA from 1 species